UGGGGAAUCUUGCACAAUGGGCGAAAGCCUGAUGCAGCAACGCCGCGUGCGGGAAGAAGGCCCUAGGGUUGUAAACCGCUUUCAGCAGGGAAGAAACUGACGGUACCUGCAGAAGAAGGUGCGGCCAACUACGUGCCAGCAGCCGCGGUGACACGUAGGCACCAAGCGCUGUCCGGAUUUAUUGGGCGUAAAGAGCUCGUAGGCGGUUCGGUAAGUCGGGUGUGAAAACUCUGGGCUCAACCCAGAGCCGCCACCCGAUACUGCUGUGACUCGAGUGCGGUAGGGGAGCGGGGAAUUCCUGGUGUAGCGGUGAAAUGCGCAGAUAUCAGGAGGAACACCAGUGGCGAAGGCGCCGCUCUGGGCCGUGACUGACGCUGAGGAGCGAAAGCGUGGGUAGCAAACAGG
rnacentral:rRNA from 1 species